rnacentral:lncRNA from 1 species
CUCCCAAAGUGCUGGGAUUACAGGCAUGAGCCACCGCGCCCGGCCACAGAUCUCUUUUCAUCCUUUUCUUACUCUGUUGAUUUUUAUUUUUUAUUUUGACACAGGGUCUUGCUCUGUUGUCCAGGCUGGAGUAAACUGGCAUGAUCAUGACUCACUGCUGUCUCCACCUCCUGGGCUCAAGGCUCCCAAGUAGCUGGGACUACAGGUACACACCAUCACAUCCAGCUAAUUUUAUUUUUUAAUUUUGUAGAGAUGAGUUCUUCCUGUGUUGCCCAGGCUGGUCUUGAACGCUUGGGCUCAAGCAGUCGUCCUGUCCUGCCUUGGCCUCCCAAAGUGCUGGGAUUGUAGAUGUGAAUUACUGCACCUGGCCCCUGUCCUUUAAAUGUUCAUUUUCCUGAAAGUUUCUGUUGUAUUCUCCCUAUCUCUCGUUCUUAAACCUAGUGGCAUAUGUAUCUCUUGAAGGACUUAUUAAGAUUAUGGCCUACAAAAACUCUUUAUGAUCUGGCCCCUGUCAGCCUUUCUGGCUUUUCCUUAACUACCUGGGAGUUAGCUAGGUGAAGUAUGGGGAAGAAAGUUCUGGGGAGGCACUGCCUACGUAAAUCAUGGAGGUAUAGAGCAAGGUAACAGAGUCUUUGCCAAACUGCACGGAAUGGGAUGAGGCUACAUAUGGGAUUCUUGUGGGAAUUACAGAAAAGACUAGAGAGGUACCUAGGUGCCUGAUAUUGAAGUCCUUAUUUGAUAGGCUAAAAAGUUCGAGUUUUGUCUUAAACUAUGAAAGCUACUGAAGGAUUUACUUUUUAAAAAUAUCUCUUAUAGCAAUUUGGAGACUGGAUUGGAAAAUAGACUGGAAUUAGGGAGUCCAGUUUAGGGAGGAUCACAAUAAUCUAGAUAAGAAAUAGGGUCUAAAGUAGUCAUGCAAGUGCAGAGGGAUAGAUGGACUCAAAAUUUUUUUUUUUUUUUUUUUUUUUUUGCUAGGCGGAGUCUCCCUCUGUCUCCAUAUUUAAUAGAUAGGCUGGGUGUAGUGUCUCACACCUAUAAUCCAGCACUUUGGGAGGCUGAGGUGGGAGGAUCUCUUGAGCCCAGUUCGAGACUAGCCUGGGGCAACUUAGUGAGAACCUGCCUCUAAAGAAAUAUAAGAAAAAUUAGCUGGGCCUGGUGGCACACACCUAUAGUCCCAGCUAUUUGGGAGGCUGAGGUGGGAGGAUUACCUAAACCUGGGAAUCAAGGCUGCAGUAAGCCACAAUCCCACCACAUUGCACUCCAGCCUGAGCAAUAGAGUGAGACCCUGUCUUUUACUACCCUUGAUCUUAGCCAAAAGGCAGAGAAGUGAUGACCCUGUCUUUAAAAAAAAAAAAAAAAAAAAAAGAGCUGGGUGUGGUCGCUUACGCCUGUAAUCCCAGCACUUUGGGAGGCUGAGGUGGGCGGAUCACCUGAGGUCGGGAGUUGGAGACCAGCUUGACCAACAUGGAGAAACCCAUCUCUACUAAAAAUACAAAAUUAGCCGGGAGUGGUUGUGCAUGCCUGUAAUCCCAGCUACUCGGGAGGCUGAGGCAGGAGAAUUGCUUGAAUCUAGUAGGCGGAGGUUGCUGUGAGCCGAGACACCAGCCUGGGCAACAAGAGCAAAACUCUGUCUCAGAAAAAAAAAAAAAAAAAAGAAUCUGUUAGACAUGGAGAUGUGUACAUGCGUGAUUGACAAAGCUACAGAGCAAGAGAGAGGAUAAUAGUGGUAAUGAGAAGGAUGAGCUCUUGGAUGACUUCUAGUUUUCUGGGUUCCAUGCUAAGGUGGAUAGUGACUUCCAUUUAUAAAUUAGGGAAUAUAGGAAGAUGCACGUUUGGGAACAAAAGAUGAGAUGUUUGGUUUUUGAAUGGUUGAAUUUGAGGUACCAGUAAUUAGAGGGAAUGUGCAAGGAAGAGUUUUUUAAGAUGACAAACUCGAGCAUAUUUAUAUAUACAGGAGAAUGAACAAGACAAUACAGAGCCAUGAUAACAGAAUGAAGUUCUUGAGCCUGCAGAGAAGAUGCAAUCUAAAGUAGGGGUAGAAUUAUUAUCCCCUUCAUUAAGAGAAGGAAAAGGUCAGGAAAGGGGUGGGGAGAAAUGUUUGGUAUCUAAACAAAGGAAUUUGAGAGAGUUUCUGCCUUAUGACCUUUAUAUUACUUGUGAUGUAGGAGACUUAUUUUUUUGGGUCAGGGAGCUGAUGUCUUAGCGUAAGGCAGGUUGGUUGAAUAGGGGCCUUGAGAAGAGAGGCAAGUUCGAAUAGCUGUUGAGAGAGUGGGAGAGAUAGCUGCUGAGGGUACUUGUAUGGCUAGGCAGGCAAAGAUAUCAUGGGGUAGUGUAAAGGUGGGGGAGCAUUUCAAGCAGAUACAAUAGCCUGGGCAAAGACCUAGAGGUAUUAAAGAAUAUGGUAUGAGGCUGGGCACGGUGGCUUACACCUGUAAUCCUAGUGCCUUGGGAGGUCAAGGCGGGAGAAUUACAUCAUGUCAGGAGUUUGAAAGCAAUCUGGGCAACAUUGUGAGACACCCACCUCUACCAGAAGUUAAAGCAAUUAGCUGGAUGUGGUGGCAUGCACCUUUUAUCCCAGCUACUUGAGAGAUAGGUGGGAGGAUCACUUGAGCCCAGGAGUUUGAGGUUGCAGUGAGCUAUGACUAAAAAUACAAAAAAUUAGCCAGGCAUGGUGGCACUUGCCUGUAAUCGUAGGUGCUGGGGAGGCUGAGGCACAAGAAUCUCUUGAACCCUGGAGGCGGAGGUUGCAGUGAGCCGAGAUCACUCCACUGUACUCCAGCUUGGGUGACAGAGCAAGAAUCCGUAUCAAAAAAAAAAAAAAAAAGGAAAGGAGAAUAUGGAUGGUAUAUAUGGGGCAGUAUUUUGAAUGACUGAAGAGAAAGAUAUAUUUAGGGCCUGAUUUUAUGGUGGGCUUUACAAGCUAUAUUAAGAAAUUUGGCAUAUAACUAAAUGUUCUGCGCAGAAGUAAUGAGAAUAGAGGAGAGGAAUCAGAGCUGAAAAGAGCAGAUGAAUGUGAGAUGGUUCCAGAAUUUGGAGAUUGUUUAAAUGUGGGAAGAGGGGAGGAAUUGUGGAUGGAUGACGCUCAGGUUUGUGUCUUGGGCAAACUGGGUGGUGUUGCUUACUGAGAUAAGAAAAGGGUAGGUUUGGGAUUAGAGGAAAUGUUGGUAGAGAGUUCACUUUUGGAAAUGUCUAGCAGCUAGUUGUCUAAAUGGAUCUGGAGUGCUAGAGAGAGGCAGGGGUAUUUAGAUUUGGAAGUAGUCUCCACAAGAAGGUUUAAUCUGUGAUAGGGAACAGGGUUACUCAGGGCAAACUUAAGAAAGUGAUAGGAGAGUUGACAUCGAACUUGAGUGUCAGAUAAGGUACUUGGGAUCAUUAGGAGGCUUAAUAAUCAUUUUAGGGUUUGUGUGUGUUAAAGAACCUUACUGACUGGCUAGCUAUAGAGAUAAAAAAUGAACAAUUAAUGAGCAGGAUAUAAUGGAUUAGAUCCUGUGAUGGAAACAAUAUGCAGUAUAAUUUAAUUAAGUCAAUUGCUGAGUACAAACAGAUACAAAAUAAGAGAGAAGUCAAUAUAGAAAGGCAUCGUGGAAGAAGUAGAAAUUGAACUAGGCUUUAAAGAUUAGUAUACAAAAUUCAUUUCAGUAAUCAUCUUUUUUUUUUCAAGCCAAACUCAUCCUUUUAAUCAGUAAUCCACUCCUGAGUUAACUAACCCACUCCCUCAAUAAUAGCAUUAAUCCCCUCAUGAGGGUGGAACUCUCAUGGAUCAUCAUAUUUCAAAUAUAUAUAUAUUUUUUGAGAUUUGCUCUUUUAUGAAACAUUUUACUAUGGAAAAUUUCGUAUGUAUUCAGAAGCAACAAGAGUGGUAUAAGGAAUGUCCAUAUGCAAUUAUCUGCCACAAUAAACAUACAUGUCCAUGUGUCUUUAUAGCAGCAUGAUUUAUAAUCCUUUGGGUAUAUACCCAGUAAUGGGAUGGCUGGGUCAAAUGGUAUUUCUAGUUCUAGAUCCCUGAGGAAUCGCCACACUGGAGUAGACAGUGUUUUUAUAUGUGAAAUAAACAAGAUUCUUUGGCAAGUCAGUGACUUGUCAGUCCAUCAGGAUGAAUCAGCGGAAGUCCUAGGUGAGGUGAGAAUGUCAGCACAGUGAGCCCCUUGCCCUGAGUUUAUCGGGCAUCCCAUUAAGGUAGCUGUCAUAGCUCCUAUUUUAGAGAAGAGUAGGAGUCAUUGUUCAAGAUUUAGCUUACUUUAAAAACUUUCAGGGGGGAAGGUCACUUUUAGUAUAAUGACACCAUUAGAAGUGGCAUGUGGCUGUUUUUCAGAUUACAGCCAUUUUGGUGUGCCCAAGUGUUACCAGUUGUUAGGAUCUUUAAAACUUGUCUUCAGGUGACUAGAGGCUAUGCUGCUUCUCCAAGUAAGUUUUAUUAAUUGUCUUGGGUCCUAGACAAGUUAACUGUAGUUUCUGACUUAUCUAUUGCCUCUAGACUACUCUUUUUAAUGAGUAAAAAAGAGCUGAAGAAUUUCAGGGAAUAGACUGGGUGAUUAAUUUAUGUUAGAAAGUGGUAGGCCAAGAACUGCUCAUACAAAGAGGGAGUUAAUGUAGAGAGGAACAAAAUGCAGGGUUUUUUUAAUUGUAAAUUGACAGUGGGAAUGGAUAUAGAGGGUUCAGGGCAGGGGCAGUGUUAGGGGAAACAUUGUGAGCUGAAGAAAUUGGGAAAGAUGAUAUUAACAGGUGCUGCUGUGGAUUUUGAAUUGGAUCUAAUAUAUUAAGGUUUAAAAUUGCUUUUAACUUGUUUUUUUUUUUCCCCCUCCUCCCCCAGAGGUUAGACUUGUUUCUUAUAUGUGAUGCCAUUCCAGCACUGGACUCAUGGAGGCUGAGCAUUUAUUCAGGUUUUGCUCUGGCUGCUUUUAAGAUUUUCCCUUAGCUGGGUGUGGUGGUUCAUGAAGCCUGUAGUCUCAGCUACUUGGGAGGCCUGAGGUAGGAGGAUCACUUGAGCAUAGGAGUUGCACGAUCUCGGCUCACUGCAACCUCCACCUCCCAGGUUGAAGUGAUUCUCCUGCCUUGGCCUCCCAAAUUGCUGGGAUUACAGGUGCCCACCACCACACCUGGCUAAUUUUUUGUAUUUUUAGUAGAGACAGGAUUUUGCCAUGUUGGCCAGGCUGGUCUCCAACUCCUGACCUCAGGUAAUCCACCCGCCUCAGCCUCCCACAGUGCUGGGAUUACAGGCUUGAGCCACUGGGCCCAGCCGCUCACUUUUUACUAUAGCUCUUUGCACAUGUGGAAUAUAGUGGUAAUAACUUUUCAAGUGUCUUUACAGAUUCUAUAAUUUGUAUCAUUUAUCAGUUUUUUGGAUAUAAUGCUGAAUUCUGGGUGUUAUCAUAUGCUUUUUUUCUAUUCUAAUCUUUUUAUUCUUUGUUAAAAAAUAUGGUCAUGUUUAUAAAAUCACAACUUCUACAUUUAAAGGGUAGGUUGACCAAUUAAAGCAGCCUUUCCAACCUAAGUGCAUCUGGCUAGGUAAUUCUCUCUGAGCUUUAUUAUUUGUUUUAGAGCUUAGAUCAGAGUUUGACAAUGUAGUGUAUAUACUAAGAUUUCUUAAAGAUUUAUCUGUGUAUUCCAAGGUGUGCUUAUCUGUGUAAAAAACUCAGCAAGACAUGGCAUUGCCACAGGCUAUCAAACAUUUGAAAUAUUCCUUUGGAGUUAUUUUCUGGAAUUAGGCCACUUUUCAAUAAUUAGAUGACUUUGAGCUCUUGGAGUCAUCUCCUAGAACCACCUUUGGAAUAGAGCUGUUGCAAGUGGUUACUCAGUAGUUAUUUGCUGCAUGAACGAAUGUCUCUUCAUUGAGUCACUGCAUCAGUCACUUCCCUCCUAACGUUUCAGGGGAUCUUUCCUUUUCCUCCCAUCUCUAUCCUUUUGGUUAUUUUCCUUCUUGUUUGCAUUUCCUCUGGAGGGUAGACCAAGAAGGCAAAGGAGAUGAGUCCAAAACCAUUCUGUUGUUUAUUAGUAACCCUGAUAAGAAAAAAAGUAUUAUAUGAGAAAGGAUUGAAAUAUUUGGUGAAAAUCAGAUUUUGGAGUUAAUGCUGGAUUUCAUUUUUUCAUUCUGUAUCUCCCACUACUAGUUAUGGAUUCGGUUUUUGCUGUUUUUUCUUUUCUUCAAAGCCCUGACCAUCUUUUUUUUCUUUAAUUUAUAGCUAGUGAUGUCCUCUUACAUUUUAUUUUAUUUCUCAUUUUUAUAACUUUUUCCCCCUCCAUAUGGAAGCCUCUUCCAUGUGGAGUCCUAAUUCGGGAAAAGGAGUCAGGCUGGCGGGACCAAGGGAAUGCAAAAAGAGAAAGCAGAUAAGCUGUAACUGCCUUUUAAAAAAAAAAAAUUUUUUUUGUCUGUCUUGAGGCCCCUGCUUCUCUUCUAGCCUUUUCUUUGGUUACUCUGCCACUGUUUUCAUUGUGUUUUCUCCCUCUGUGACCCUGGAAAAUGCUACCAUACACCCAUGAGAGCAUGACAGUGAAAAAGACAAACAGGGUUUUACUACUACUCUGAAAAUGGUUUUGACCAUGUAGUUUCCAUGAAAGUCUUGGGGAUUCCCAGGGGUUCCAGGCCACACUUUGAGAGCUGCUCUUCUGUCUAGUCCCCCAGGUGUCUUCUUAGAUGUCUUCUCUCCCAGUCAUUACACACAUCUCAUAUGUUACUAAGUCUUUUUUUUUUUUUGAAGACGGGGUCCUGCUGUGUUGCCCAUUUUUCACCACUGCUCAUUAAUUGCACUCCAGCCUGGGCAACAAGAGCGAAACUCCGUCUCAAAAUUAAACAACAACAACAAAAAAGGACAAUCUAUGAUAUGUUGUAAAAUCAUUCGGACUUUUGGAUUACUGUUAUUUUGUUUCAGCAGCAGUGGGACAGAGAGAAGCUAUGCCAUAUCCUUCCCUUAGACUAUGCUCAAAGAUAUUAUGUUAUACUGGCUUUUCUGAUGAUAUUUACUUUUUGUUUUUAUAGUUGUUGCAUUGAUGUUACUCAUUUAGGAAAGGUGAAAGAGAAAUCCCUAUGAGAAGCACAAUGUUAAAUCAAGAUUCAUUUUAGUUAUAAAUAUGACCUGGAUAUUUGGAGAUAUCUUGAAAUUCUCUGUUUUGGGGGUUUGGGUUGUGGGGGAUUGGCUUGUUUUGUUUGGGAGUAUUUCUUCUCAUUGGUGACAAGAAAGUUCUUGAGUAAAGGCUAGGAGGAAAACUAUCUGAGGUUACUUAUUUGCCUAAUCCUUCUAUAUUAGAAUUAGGAGAUGUAAAUUAGUCUCCAGAUCACUUGUGUUGCCUUCUUAGUCCCACCGUAGCCAUGACAGACAAAUUCUCAGCCCUCGCCCUGCUGACUGUGUGCAAAGUUAGAGAACAGCCCCCAAAUCCACCCCCCACUUUUGGAACUGCAGAGUUUGGGGGGGUCCGCAAGAUCACCCUCGGGUUCAAUAGUUUACUAGAACGACUCACAGAACUCACUAAAGCUAUUAUACUUACAGUGAAGGGAGACAGACUAAAAUCACCCAAGAGAAGAGAUAUAUGGGCAAAGUCCAGGAGGGUUUCAGAUGCUGAGCUUCCAGUUUUCCUUUCCCAGUGGAGUCAUGGAUAGUGUAACUCCUCCUGUCAGUGGUGUGUGGUAAUACACAUGGAGUAUUGCCAACCAAGGAGGCUACGUAAGCCUUGAUGUCGUGAAUUUUUACUGGGGCUCCAUCACAUAGAUAUAAUUGGCCAAGUGGCUGACCUCAGUCUCCAGCCCUUCCUGAGGUUGAGUUGAUAGUAUGUAACCUAAAGUCCCUACCAUAAAUCAUAUUGGUAGACUUAUCUGUCAUGGCAUUUUUUUUAAAAAGUAGAUCCAAGUUGAUAGAGCUUCCAGGCACCUGAGAGAUGCAAACUCAGAUCAUCCCUGGUGGAAUAUACCUCAACCCUGGCUUCAAAGAAUUCUUAAAGAUAGAUUACCAACAUAUGUGAGCUUAUAAUAGUAACCAAAAAACCAAAAAAAAAAUCACAAAAGAAACACGGUUCUGUGAACCAGCAUCAACAGAAACAACUGAAUCAGACCCAGAGAAACUUUAGGUAUUGGAAUUAUUGAAUAUAGAACAUAAAAUAAAUAUAUUUAAUGAAAUAGAAAAGUAAAUAAAGACCAAGAAUAAGAAAUGAGAGAAUAAAGCAAGACUGGUUGGUUUGUAAAAUAAGCAAUUAAAUUAUUUUAGAAAUAAAAAAAUAAUGAUUGAAAGAAACUCAGUGGAGGGGAACUUACAGUUCUGGUGAUAGCUGCGUAACAGGAAGCUGAUUUAUGCUGCUGUCUUAAGUGAAUAAUUGGACAAAGUAUAUGAAAAAAUGUUUUCAGAUAUUGGACAAAGAGUAGCAUAGAACAGUGAUUCCUGAGAGAAAAUGACAUUCAAACAGGUAGAGUAGUAGUUUGCCUGUUACAUAAUUAGUGAGUAGAAAAUCUGGGAAUUAGUUAUUGUUAGUUUUUGUGCUUUACCUAGAGAAAAUCUCUCAGUGGGGAGAAGUAGAAAGACU